CAGAGUUAUCAAAACUCCCAAACCCAUGUGAACAUACCUCGCGUUGCCUCGGCAGGUGGCGUCUCGCCCCGUAGAGUCCUACCCUGUAAGACGUUACCCUGUAAGACCCUACACGGUAGACGACCCUGCCGACGGCCCCCGAAACUCUGUUUUUAUAGCAUUAGACUUCUGAAAAGAUAACUAAAUAAGUUA
rnacentral:misc_RNA from 1 species